rnacentral:lncRNA from 1 species
UACCUUUCUAAAUCUAACGCCAGUGCCACACAUCACAUGUUGUGAUUGAAUCUCUCUCUCUCUCUCUCUCUCUCUCUCUAUUCUCUCUUGUCAACCCAAGAGAGAAAACAAGGGCUUCACCCAUCACCAACAAGUUUUCAAGGUAUGCAAAAAGCGCUGAACUUUGAUCUUCUUUUUCUUUUUGAUGCAAUUGGGUUGUCAUGUUUUGGAUUAAUAUUCACGAAUUCUUGGUCUUAUUUUUUUAUUUUUUAUUUUUUGGUUAGGUGAUUGUUGCUUAGGUGAUGGGAAAGCAUCAACGUUGUCCUUGUGAGGGCCAUGAUCAUUCUAACAGCAAUGGAAAAAAGAAGAAACGCCUGCGCAAUCCGAAAAGGGCAUGCCAUUGCUUUGCAGUGUCCUCAAUAUUUAGAGGGAUAGGGAGAUGCAUGUUUGUGACUUGCUUCCCUGUCAUGCGGUGCUUUGGAUUGGAUGAGUGCAGACACCGCCACCACCACCAUCACCACCACCGCAGACAUUUCCACGAGUUUUCAUGAUAUUGGGAUUGACUUUGCAAUAUUUAUUUUGCUGGUGGAGAAGUUUGAAGUUUUGCUGCAUUUUUCUUUUUAUAUUUGGUGUCGGAUCCUACGUGCAAAAACACGAAUUUGGGCGGUAAAUAUGGGAUCAGAUACGCCUCAUCAAUCAAUCACCACUUUGUUUGGUUCUUGUGUAAAUAUACAUGUCAAGGAAGAUCAAGGUUGCAAAAAAACAUCCAGUUUACCUGAUACGGGUGAUUGCACGUACCUGAGAUUUACUUUCAAGGUCUUGUAUCCAAUGAGGAAGUGAAUCAUGCGCGAUGUUUUCCUGGUUAUUAUCCUGCGGAAGAUCAAGGUUGGGGUCCUUGGGGAGAAGAACAUGUUUAGAAAUGUAGAAAAUUUGGGAUUUGGCAUAUGUCAAGUGCUACAAGAGUCCAAAUUCCGUCAAUUUAGAAUUGCUGCAGUUAGGAAUUUUGAUUGUACAUCCUCAUGAUUCUUUAGCUUUUUCUUUGUAAAUUAUUGAACAACAAUGAUUGAAUUUAGACUCCAAUUUUCGUAUGUCGAUUUUUCCUUUGUGUUUGAGGCUGUCGAUGAUUCUGGUAAUAAUAUUCAUUGUAUGAAAUUGCGUUAACAUGUUCAAUACCAUGUUAAAACAAUGAGCAAAGCAAAGCAUCAGAGGAAAAGCAAUGGAA